GAUGGUGGAGGUGGAGAAUUUUAUUUAGGGAUGGAAAUGUCUCACAGUGGAGAGGGGAGCUGAAGAGGAGGCAGGACGGGCAGGUAAUCUUCCCUGACAUCUGGCAGUCUCCAGCCAGCUCUUCUCCGAAGUUAAGCCAUCACUCCUCCAAAGUCCAGCUGUCCCUCUGAAGUCAAGUUGCCUCUCUCCAGUCAAGCUGCGUCUCCCUUUCUACCUACUGAGUCUGGGGUCUUUAUAGGGAUAUGAUGGGGGGCAGGGAGGGUCAUAAGUAAUUUUGGGAAAAGGCAACAUUCAAUAGGUAGAAAGACAUUAUUCAGAAAGAGUCAACUGGGAGAGAGCGAGCAAACAGGGAUAGAAGUUCUCACUUUGGGCUGUGGGUUUCAGCUUGAAGGUGGGGUUUUGCUAGGUCCCACCCUUGUCUGCCUAGAAUUUCUCUGCCUCUAGCCUCUAUCGAUGUUGCCACUUUUUUCCCUCAUUGUAGCGAAGAGCAGGAACUUCUGUGUAUAUCUGUUUUCUUCCUCAAGAUCUGCUAGGAUUCUCUCUAGCUCCCCUCUUUCCUCACUCUCUAAGGAAAUCAAGAUCUGGGCAGGACUACGAGGCUGGCUCAGGGGGGAGUCCUGG
rnacentral:lncRNA from 1 species